AGGCGGGUCUCUGGGCCGAUACUGACGCUGAGGAGCGAAAGCGUGGGGAGCGAACAGGAUUAGAUGCCCUGGUAGUCCACGCCGUAAACGGUGGGCGCUAGGUGUGGGGGACUUCCACGUUCUCUGUGCCGCAGCUAACGCAUUAAGCGCCCCGCCUGGGGAGUACGGCCGCAAGGCUAAAACUCAAAGGAAUUGACGGGGGCCCGCACAAGCGGCGGAGCAUGCUGAUUAAUUCGAUGCAACGCGAAGAACCUUACCAAGGCUUGACAUACACCGGAAACUUCCAGAAAUGGUUGCCCCGCAAGGUCGGUGUACAGGUGGUGCAUGGUUGUCGUCAGCUCGUGUCGUGAGAUGUUGGGUUAAGUCCCGCAACGAGCGCAACCCUCGUCUUAUGUUGCCAGCACGUUAUGGUGGGGACUCAUAAGAGACUGCCGGGGUCAACUCGGAGGAAGGUGGGGAUGAGGUCAAAUCAUCAUGCCCCUUAUGUCUUGGGCUUCAAGCAUGAUACAAUGGCCGGUUCAAAGGGCUGCGAUACCGUGAGGUGAAGAGAAUCCCAAUAAGCCGGUGUCAGUUCGGAGAGGGGUAUGUAACUAGAUCCCAUGAAGUCGGAGUCGGUAGUAAUGGCAGAUCAGUAACGCUGUGGUGAAUACGUUCCCCGGCCCAGGACACGCUGCGAGGCAUGUCUCGAAAGUCGGUCACUCCCCAACCC
rnacentral:rRNA from 1 species